rfam:Brachypodium distachyon strain Bd21 chromosome 1, whole genome shotgun sequence.
AUAAUACUCCCUCCGUCCCAUAUUAAGUGCCGAAAUAUUACAUGUAUCUAGACGUAUUUAGUAUAUAGAUACGUCCAUUUUUAGACAAAUUUGAGUCACUUAAUAUGUAACGGAGGUAGUACUUG